rnacentral:rRNA from 1 species
AAAAGAACCUGAAACCGUGUACGUACAAGCAGUGGGAGCACAGAGCAAUCUGUGUGACUGCGUACCUUUUGUAUAAUGGGUCAGCGACUUAUAUUCUGUAGCAAGGUUAACCGAAUAGGGGAGCCGAAGGGAAACCGAGUCUUAACUGGGCGUUAAGUUGCAGGGUAUAGACCCGAAACCCGGUGAUCUAGCCAUGGGCAGGUUGAAGGUUGGGUAACACUAACUGGAGGACCGAACCGACUAAUGUUGAAAAAUUAGCGGAUGACUUGUGGCUGGGGGUGAAAGGCCAAUCAAACCGGGAGAUAGCUGGUUCUCCCCGAAAGCUAUUUAGGUAGCGCCUCGUGAAUUCAUCUCCGGGGGUAGAGCACUGUUUCGGCAAGGGGGUCAUCCCGACUUACCAACCCGAUGCAAACUGCGAAUACCGGAGAAUGUUAUCACGGGAGACACACGGCGGGUGCUAACGUCCGUCGUGAAGAGGGAAACAACCCAGACCGCCAGCUAAGGUCCCAAAGUCAUGGUUAAGUGGGAAACGAUGUGGGAAGGCCCAGACAGCCAGGAUGUUGGCUUAGAAGCAGCCAUCAUUUAAAGAAAGCGUAAUAGCUCACUGGUCGAGUCGGCCUGCGCGGAAGAUGUAACGGGGCUAAACCAUGCACCGAAGCUGCGGCAGCGACGCUUAUGCGUUGUUGGGUA